UUUGUGGGUCUUUUUGAAACAGUGUUCUUUCUUCUUUCUUUCUUUUCUUCAUUCUUCUUUUCUUCAGAGAUAAUGGAGAUAGAGAUGAGACAAUCAAAAUUCAAAAGAAUUUGUGUUUUUUGUGGUAGUACUCCUGGAAAGAAGAGUAGCGAAAGAAGAGUAGCUACAAAGAUGCUGUGAUUGAACUUGGAAGAGAAUUGGCAUCAAGAAAUAUUGAUCUGAUUUAUGGAGGAGUGUUGGUUUGAUUUCUCAAGCUGUUUAUGAUGGUGGCCGCCACGCAAUAGGAGUUAUCCCAAGACACUCAUGCCUGGACGGGUACUUUAUCUUCUCUCACAGUGAAGUUCUAAUUUUUUUUUUUUAAAUUGAAAAAGUGAAAAAAUAAUUUAUUAAAAUAAUAGCCGAGUUAUCUCCAAAAAUGAAAAAUCUAGGAAAAAAAAUAAAAAUAUUAUUUUUCUUAUCUAAAAUUAAUUUAUUUUAUCAUAUUAUUAUUUAAUCUCUUUAGGUCCAUCAUGGAUUUAACAUUGUACUUUUGAAUUAUUGCCACGCCUAAAGUUAGAAUUGGCACCAUUACCAGCAGCAUACCUAGGAUUGCAAGUACCUUGAGAAUGUGAAACAUUAGUAGUAACAAUAUUAGAUGAUGAAAAACUAGAAUUACCGAUGAUAAUUUUAUUUUGGUAAGAAACUCUUCUGAGCAACAUUGGCAAUCAUUGGAAUCGGAUCAUAGGACGGAUCAACUCUUUUGAGAUAUAAUUCAUGAGCUAACAACUUAUCUUGAAGCUCUUCAAACGUGAUAACAGUAUCCCUUGCACGUACAGCCGCAGCUAUAUCACAGAACUCGUUACCGAUGCCAUUUAACAACAUAUACCACCAAAUCAACAUCAGAAACGGUGUUGACACAAAGAGCAAGUUCAUCAGCCAUAUUCUUGAGAGAGUGCAAAUACUCAGUUACCAAUUUGGUGUCCUUUUUUGUGUUGGAGAGUUUCUCUUUGAGAGAAAGAACCCUUGUAGCCGAUUUAUUAGCAAAUGAAACCUGAAGUUCUUCCCAAGCAUCCACAAAAGUCUUUGCAUUGGAAAUAAUAUGUAUAACCGAGAAAUGGAUUGAUGCAAACAAAGCUACUACAAUCAACUGAUUUUUGACAAUACCAUCAAAAUCAUGAUUACUUAAUUCUUGGCCAUCUUUUGUAAUAGUGGCAGCAGGAGGUUUAUUCGUCCCAUCUACAUAACCAAAAAGAUUGUGCCCACGAAGUAAUGGAGAAACCUGAGCACGCCAAGUAGGAUAGUUUUGAGUUGUAAGUUUGAGAUGAAAUUGGAUAGCAUUAAUAACAAUUAUAACCUAGCCAAAAGAAUGAGUGAUAAUGGAAUUGGUUGACAAAGCCAUAGCAAUGAAAAAGAAAGAUUAGUUAUAGGAUAAAAAAAGCUUAGAGCUUAUUGCUCUGAUACCAUAAAGAGAACUGAAAGAGAUUGAACUGCAGC